CCCUCCCAGCUGUUUAUUUAUGUGAACCGCCUGCAACACCAAAUGUUGCUGAGCUCGCCAAAUGUUGCUGCUGCCGUUGUCACAUGCAACUCCGAUGGCGGUUACCUUUUUUGGCGCACUUAUGCAACUUAUUCAAUACCAGUCGUGGACCCAAUUCCCACUGUCCAGGAAACGAUCCACUUUGAUGUCUAGUCUUUAGGCUGAUUGACUGAUGGCCCGAAAGGAAGUCGCGCCAAAGACUACUUCAAUUUAGAAAUUCGAAUAUAUUCAAAUGGGGGGAAUUGGCAGUCAUUCUGCCCGACUUCAGAGUGGAAUGAAUGACGGUCUAAGCAGCCAAGGGUUCAGCAACAUUUGGCGGCGGAACGGGCGGCAGUGUCGGCAGCGGCGACGGCUUUAAAUAAAUCAGCCGUAAAGACAAGACAAACAAGAAAGGAAGUCCAAAGACGAAUACCGAAGCUGUUGAUACUCUUACACAUAUACAAAUGGGCAUGGCUGUAUUGACAUGAUCUGCUAUAGUGAUCAAGAUAUACCAUAAUUUAUGAUUUCAUCUAUUUGUGGCAAAUAUCUGCUCAAAACCACAAUACCCUCACCAAGCGAAUAUCAAGAGAAGGGGAAACAGACAACCCAGAGCAGAAAAGGAGGGAAUAAGUUGGAAAAGAAUGGUGGCCUUUGUUGCUGGUAGCAGCUACACCCACACCCACCCACCCACACGCUAAAGCCAAAACUGGAGUGCAACUAUUUUUAAUUCCAUGCAAAAUGUGCACGGCAACAUGUUGCCGACACGUCGCACAGUGGAUAUCAGGUGGCCCAAAUCAAAAAUCCUAUGAGCGGUUUGGAUAUUAAGAAUAAUAUUCAGAUAUGAUAAGUCUUUAAGAGAUUAAAAAAUGCAAAUUUCCAUGAAAUUUAAUUUAGGUAAUAUACACACUUAAAGUUCACCAAUCUACGAUUUGUGUUUUAGAGCGACAUAUGUACGUAUUUAUGUGUCGUAACUACGAACGAAAAACAUCCAAAAUAGCCCCGCCAUAGUUAAAGAAUAAGUAUAGUCCACAGUAUGAUUUUUGAAAGC
rnacentral:sRNA from 1 species